UUGCACGCUGGCGGCAGGCCUAACACAUGCAAGUCGAGCGGAUGAAGGGAGCUUGCUCCUGGAUUCAGCGGCGGACGGGUGAGUAAUGCCUAGGAAUCUGCCUGGUAGUGGGGGAUAACGUCCGGAAACGGGCGCUAAUACCGCAUACGUCCUGAGGGAGAAAGUGGGGGAUCUUCGGACCUCACGCUAUCAGAUGAGCCUAGGUCGGAUUAGCUAGUUGGUGGGGUAAAGGCCUACCAAGGCGACGAUCCGUAACUGGUCUGAGAGGAUGAUCAGUCACACUGGAACUGAGACACGAUCCAGACUCCUACGGGAGGCAGCAGUGGGGAAUAUUGGACAAUGGGCGAAAGCCUGAUCCAGCCAUGCCGCGUGUGUGAAGAAGGUCUUCGGAUUGUAAAGCACUUUAAGUUGGGAGGAAGGGCAGUAAGUUAAUACCUUGCUGUUUUGACGUUACCAACAGAAUAAGCACCGGCUAACUUCGUG
rnacentral:rRNA from 1 species